UACCCUGUAACCCUGGAUGCCAUGGAAGUUACCGGGCUCGAGACCUGAUUCGUACCAGUCGCCUUCUUUGGUCUCGAUGAUGGGCCACAGGAUCCCCCAUGAAAGGAAUGUACCAAGCAACAAGGAGAUAUUUAUAAGGGAAGCUCUGAAAGCCACAAUGAUCCCCAGAGGUGAAGAACCAUUGAAAGAAACUCCAUAAGAAGCUGAUAGAGAAGAAUCUCCCUAAUUCCCUCACUUGUUGCCUAUCAUCAAGAAAUUUUUAUUAAUAUAUUCAUGCCCGUUGCUUUUUCUUCAAGAAAAUUUUGUUAUGUUAGGGAUAUUUUGGAUCCUGAGAAUUGAAAAGGUCAUAAAAACAUCGGAUCCGGAUAUUAAAAUUAAAAAUGAAAGGAAAGAAUUGAAAGAGGUUGAUUACUUGGCAAGCUUGGCACCCUGGGGAGUGUGGAAGCUGUUAAUGAGGUGAGCAGUUGCAGUUCCACUGGGGUAUAUGAGCUUGAAGUCAAUGAUCAUGAUCUGUAAAAUUAAACCAUGCAUCCAUGCAUCAAAUUAAUUAAUAUCUUUUAAAAUUAA